AUAUAAUUUCUUUCAACUAUACACUAUUUUAAAAUACGGCUACCUAAUAUUUUAAAAUUUUAAUUGCACUAACCAAUUUAAUUUAUUUAAUUUGAGUCAAAAAUAACAAUUUAAUUUUAAAAUUUAAAUACUCAGUAUAUUAUUACAAAUUUAAUUAGUAUAUUUUAUAUAUUUCUCGUAACUAUAAAUUAUUAAAAUAAAAUAAUUAACUAAAAUUUUAAAGGUAACGCAGCGUUAAGCCAAAUUACACAAACUAAAAAAAUUGGAUGGUAAAGACGUAUUUGGUUCGUUUAUUUCUCACCAUGGAAUCAGAAUCGGAAUAGGAAUGAGUGAAUCCGUUUAUAAGUGUUUGGUAUGCGAGAGUCUCAUUCCUAUUUCGAUUCCUGAGUGGAAUGGGAAAUCUUCCAAUCACCUCUUUUUCCAAUCCAGUUUAGGAGGUCGGAUUAGAAGUUGAAUCCGGACGGAAUGGAUAUUUAUUCGAAUUAAAUUUAUUUUUUAAACUUUUUUUCAUUAAAAUAUGAGUUUAAAUGUAGAAAUUAAAUUUAUACUUUUAAAUUUUAAUUUGAAUUUGAAUUAAAAAUUAAAAUUUAAUUAAGUAUUUUGAAUCUAACUUAUAAAUUUGAAUUUAAAUUAAAUUUUAAUUUAUAUAAAGUUUUAUUCAAAUUUUAUUUAAAACAUAAAUUAAAUUAAUGGAUUCAAAUUAAAAUUUAAAUUGUAAUUUUAAGUUUGAAUUUGAAUAAAUCGAAAUUUAAUUUUAUAUCUUGAAUUAUCCACUCAACUUCAAAGUUUAAUUUUUUUUAAAAAAGAUAGAUUUAAAAUUUUGACAUUAUUUCAAAAUUUUGAUUUAAAUUUGUGAGACCCCAAAUAGUCCUAUAUAUAAGAUAUAAUAGGGCUAAACUCUUAACCCGGCUUAAGCAUUUUGGGUGGUAGCAAGACCCAAGAGGUUAAGAGAGUUAAGCGUGCUAGGACGGGAGUAGUCCUAGGAUGGGUGACCCCCUGGGAAGUUGGGGCGUCACAGAUGGUAUCAGAGCCAAUUACCAGCCGGAAGUGUGAGAUGAGUCUCGGCUGAGCUAGGGUCUAGAUGACGGGCUAGCGAGAUGAGUCUCACAUCGCCUGGUACUUGUGAGUCUGAGCCUGACGAGGACGUCAGGGCUUAAAGGAGGGGAGAUUGUGAGACCCCAGAUAGUCCUAUAUAUAAGAUAUAAUAGGGCUAAACUCUUAACCCGGCUUAAGCAUUUUGGGUGGUGGUAAGACCCAAGAGGUUAAGAGAGUUAAGCGUGCUAGGACGGGAGUAGUCCUAGGAUGGGUGACCCCCUGGGAAGUUGGGGCGUCACAAAAUAUUUAAUUUUUAAUUUGAAUUUAAAUUAAAAUUUUUAAUUUGAAUUUAAAUUAAUAUAUUAUAAAGAUAAAGUUAGUAUAUUAAUUUGAUUACGUUUUUUAUAUUUACCUGAAGCAAACACCGAUAAUGAAAAUGAUUUAUUCCGAUUCCGGUAACGAACCAAAUAGAAUUAGGUAAUGAGUCAUUUCAAUUCCGAUUCCAGCUUAUUUCGAUUCCGAUUUUGAUUCCGAUUCUAACUUCAAAUCAAACGCGCAAAAUUAAGGGGAUGUUUGGUUGCACGCAUUUGCAACUGCAGUGCAGUUGCAAAUGCGUACAACCUCAAUUUCUAUGUUUGGUUUAGUGCUGUUGAGUUCAACUGCUACUGGAGUUGCAAAUACAUGCAACCUCAAUUCCUAUGUUUGGUUUAGUGCAGUUGAGUUCAACUGCUGCAGUUCCAACUGCA
rnacentral:lncRNA from 1 species